UACCCCGCAGGUGAGUCCGCAGGGCGUC
rnacentral:sRNA from 1 species